AACUGAUACUACCUGCGGGAACCUGCGGAGGGAUCAUUAUCGAGUGUUAAACCCCCCCGUAAAAAAGGGGGGUUACCUCCCGUCCUUUGCUGAACCCCCCCCAAAACUUUUAUAGUGAAGGGGAUGGGAUUUUUUACUUUCUGCUUUGGUGGGUUUUAAACAGGGCCCCCCCAGGGCCCCCCCACCGAAACAAUCUCAAAAAUUCUUUUUCAACCGUUCUGUCCGAGCAAAAAUUUUAAA
rnacentral:misc_RNA from 1 species